rnacentral:rRNA from 1 species
AGGAAAGAGGGAGGCGUGCCUAAUACCUGCAAGUCGCGCGAACAGACGAGGAGCUUGCUCCUCUGACGUUAGCGGCGGACGGGUGAGUAACACGUGGAUAACCUACCUAUAAGACUGGGAUAACUUCGGGAAACCGGAGCUAAUACCGGAUAAUAUAUUGAACCGCAUGGUUCAAUAGUGAAAGACGGUUUUGCUGUCACUUAUAGAUGGAUCCGCGCCGCAUUAGCUAGUUGGUAAGGUAACGGCUUACCAAGGCAACGAUGCGUAGCCGACCUGAGAGGGUGAUCGGCCACACUGGAACUGAGACACGGUCCAGACUCCUACGGGAGGCAGCAGUAGGGAAUCUUCCGCAAUGGGCGAAAGCCUGACGGAGCAACGCCGCGUGAGUGAUGAAGGUCUUCGGAUCGUAAAACUCUGUUAUUAGGGAAGAACAAAUGUGUAAGUAACUAUGCACGUCUUGACGGUACCUAAUCAGAAAGCCACGGCUAACUACGUG